GGAAAAGCGUGACGGGUGACUCGAGCCCCCGCCGCUUGUCGUGACGUUCGUUUCGACUCAAAAGAAGGUCUCCUUCUCAAGUAGAAGGGGAGUUGCUCCUACUGUUGAGGAAAAGUGAAGUUUUUCCGUAUUCCCUCGGGCCACCUCAAAGGCCCCAGCAGAGCUCGAGGCCCGAGGCCCGUUGCUUACUUCAGCCGAGGAAUCCACCGUAAGUGCUCAGCAGCCUUGGUCCUGCUACACUUUCUUCCAAGAACUGGUCUGAGAAAGCAAACGGAGGUUGACGAUUUCUGGAGGCACUGCCAUAGACUACAUCUUACUCAGUCCUCACCACAGCUUUGUUGAGGUCUCCACCAGGCUCGCGGCCCCUCCGCGGGCGCCCACCGCCGCCGCUCCCUCGGCGCGGCCCGGCCUCCCCGGCGCCCCUCGACUGGCAUCGUACAGCUGGCACCCGGUCUCCUCGUCAGCCCGGGCGCCGCCGUCUCACCUGGUGUUUGCAUCUCGCCCUCCAACUUUGCCAUUGGCGGCGGCGCGACGUGUGGGAGAGCCCUGCGCCUCACCCGCCCGCCCGGACCAGCCUGCCCCGGCGCCGAGGUGAGUCACGGGCGCGGGGCGGUGGGGGCAGGCGGCCCCGAGGAGAGAAGGAGGGAGGGGAGGAGGGC
rnacentral:lncRNA from 1 species